ensembl:lncRNA
AGUGGUAAAAACCCUGCAACAUAAGAGAUGCGGGUUCGAUUCCUGGGUUGAGAAGAUCCCCUGGAGAAGGACAACCCACUCCAGUAUUCUUAACUGGAGAAACCCAUGGACAGAGAAACCUGGUGGGCUACAGUCCAUGGUUCACAGUCGGACACAACUGAGGCGACUUAGCAUGCAUGCACAAAGAGAGUGAAGUACUUGGCCAGUGUCAUCCUCCAGCAUUUUCAUAGCACCUUAACCAGGAAUAGAUUGCAUCUCAAGAAACCACUCUGUUGAUCCAUAAGAAGUGACUCCUCAUCUAUUUGAAGUUUUAUUGUGAGAUUGCAACAAUUCCGUCCCAUCUUCAGGCUCCACAUCUAGUGCUAGUUCUUUUGCUACUUCCACCACAUCUACCGUUACUUCGUCUACUGAAAUCUUGAACUCCUCAAAGUCAUCCAUGAAGUUGGAGUCACCUUCUUCCAAGUUCUAUUAAUACACAACAAAAAGGGUUUUCCCUCCACCUCACCCUCUCACCUUUAAUCAGACUUGAAUGAUUCAUAUGAGAAGAAAAUGAGUGCUUCUGAAACCAGUGUCAUGAUUUAGAAGGUUUUAUUCAACUCCCACACUGAAUUGAAUGGUUUGUUUACUGCC